GGACUACCCGGGUAUCUAAUCCUGUUUGCUCCCCUGGCUUUCGUGCCUCAGUGUCAGGAGUCGUCCAGAGACUCGCCUUCGCCACUGGUGUUCCUCUCGAUAUCUACGCAUUUCACUGCUACACCGAGAAUUCCAGUCUCCCCUCCGACCCUCAAGCCGGAUAGUAUUCGAUGCCAUUUCGGAGUUAAGCUCCGAGCUUUCACACCGAACUUACCCGGCCACCUACGCACCCUUUACGCCCAGUGAAUCCGAACAACGCUUGGGACCUCUGUAUUACCGCGGCUGCUGGCAC
rnacentral:rRNA from 1 species